rnacentral:rRNA from 1 species
GCGAGCGGCAGUAGGGUGCCAUC